AACGCACGAGACCUGCGGACCUGCGGAGGGAUCAUUAGUGAACGCCCUCACGGGCUUAUAACUAUUCCAAACCUCUGUGAACCGUGCCCUUCGGGGCUAUUUUACAAACAUGGUGUAAUGAACGUCAUAUAUCAUAACAAAACAAAACUUUUAACAACGGAUCUCU
rnacentral:misc_RNA from 1 species